GGGGAAUCUUAGACAAUGGGGGAAACCCUGAUCUAGCCAUGCCGCGUGAGUGAUGAAGGCCUUAGGGUUGUAAAGCUCUUUCAGCUGGGAAGAUAAUGACGGUACCAGCAGAAGAAGCCCCGGCUAACUCCGUGCCAGCAGCCGCGGUAAUACGGAGGGGGCUAGCGUUGUUCGGAAUUACUGGGCGUAAAGCGCACGUAGGCGGACCAGCAAGUUAGGGGUGAAAUCCCGGGGCUCAACCCCGGAACUGCCCUUAAAACUGUUGGUCUUGAGUUCGAGAGAGGUGAGUGGAAUUCCGAGUGUAGAGGUGAAAUUCGUAGAUAUUCGGAGGAACACCAGUGGCAAAGGCGGCUCACUGGCUCGAUACUGACGCUGAGGUGCGAAAGCGUGGGGAGCAAAC
rnacentral:rRNA from 1 species